rnacentral:rRNA from 1 species
GAGUUUGAUCAUGGCUCAGGAUGAACGCUAGCGAGAGGCCUAACACAUGCAAGCCGAGCGGUAUUGUUUCUUCGGAAAUGAGAGAGCGGCGUACGGGUGCGGAACACGUGUGCAACCUGCCUUUAUCUGGGGGGAUAGCCUUUCGAAAGGAAGAUUAAUACUCCAUAAUAUAUUGAACGGCAUCGUUUAAUAUUGAAAGCUCCGGCGGAUAGAGAUGGGCACGCGCAAGAUUAGCUAGUUGGUGAGGUAACGGCUCACCAAGGCGAUGAUCGUUUAGGGGGCCUGAGAGGGUGAUCCCCCACACUGGUACUGAGACACGGACCAGACCUCCUACGGGAGGCAGCAGUGAGG